UGCAGGGACCUGUAGGUGGUAAUCGACGGUCUUUUGUUGAUGAAGUGGUACUGUUUACAAGGAGAAAGGCUCCACUAAUUGGAGUGAGAUGGUGGAAAAACAUUGAUGAUGAAGUUAAGGAGGAUAUAGCAGAUGCAGUAAUGAAAAAGUGGGACCUUGCGAAUACUUUGGAGAACAAGAAAAAGAUAUGGGCCAUUGCAAAUGAGCGCUAUAGAGGAUGGCGAUCAACAUUUAGUUCAACAUGCAAGGCUUAUGACACUUAUGAUGAGAGAAUGAGACAUAAGCUUGAAGAACUAAACAUUGUUGAAUGACACUAUCUAGUGUUGUAUUUUACCAGCGUGGAAUUCCAGGAACGUAGCAACCAGAAUUCUCAAAACCGUUCGUGUGUCCAAGCAGUGCAUAGUGUGGGAUCAAAGUCGUUUGGUCAGUGCAGCUAUGAACUGAGAGACCCAGAAACCGGUGAAGAGCCAGAUGAUUGUGAGCUUUGGGCGAUUACACACAGUAAGAAAGGGAAAUGGACAAACACUGUAUCUGAGGCUAUCUAUGAAACUGCUCGCCGCAAAAUUGCGGAGAAGGAAACCGAGUCACCAGAUAGCUUCAUUCCUUUAGUAGAGAGAAACCUUCUUUUCCAAGAAGCAUACAAGCAAACUACUCGAUCUAAAUCAUCCAAGCUUCAUGGUAAUGGAUAUAUGGCAAGGUAUCCAAGUAGAAGGCAGCUACUGACUGAACGUUUAGAGGACCAGGCCCGUUCUGAAAUGGCAUCCCAUAUGGAAACUGAAGAGCUGAAGGCUAUGCUCGAGAAGGUACAAGAACAACUAAAAAACCAAGUUGCUGAAAGGGAAGCCGAGAAGGAGGAACAUAGGCGUCAGAUGGAAGAAUUGCAGAAAGCAAGGCAGGCUGAUAAAGAAGAACUUAGGAAAGAGUUCAUGUCAAUGCUAGCA